rnacentral:rRNA from 1 species
CUAUGCGCCUUGCCAGCCCGCUCAGUCAGAGUUUGAUCCUGGCUCAGAGUGAACGCUGGCGGUAGGCCUAACACAUGCAAGUCGAACGGCAGCACAGGAGAGCUUGCUCUCUGGGUGGCGAGUGGCGGACGGGUGAGGAAUACAUCGGAAUCUACUCUGUCGUGGGGGAUAACGUAGGGAAACUUACGCUAAUACCGCAUACGACCUACGGGUGAAAGCAGGGGGAUCUUCGGACCUUGCGCGAUUGAAUGAGCCGAUGUCGGAUUAGCUAGUUGGCGGGGUAAAGGCCCACCAAGGCGACGAUCCGUAGCUGGUCUGAGAGGAUGAUCAGCCACACUGGAACUGAGACACGGUCCAG